AUAAAAGCAGCUGUUUCUUUCACUGUUUUGGGCAAGUUAGCUCUUCAAGGACAACUCCUGAGAAGGGGAGAGCUUCUUUUCCCCUUUAUUCCUCUCCCUGCCAGUUGUUACCAUGGAGCCCAGUUGGUAACUUAUCUUAAAAAUGUAGACAUCUCUGUGAAGCCCAUCUCAAGGUCAGAGGUCUUGUUUUCACAUUUCUACAAACUACUAUACUGGAUAUAUUUGUGAAAAACUUGUAAGGGGGUGGCCAGCACCUGGAGUGCUUUUAUCUUCUCAGCCAGUGGCCAAGUAAAACAGGGCAACAGGAAAAGAGGAAGUUUAUCUACAUUGAACUCUUGCUGACAGUCCUAAAAUCAGCCAUGGUGAAGAUUUCUGGAGAAGCCCAGGGAGAACAGCAGCUGAUUUGGAUUCCAGAGAGACUAACUAAAGUGAUUUCUACAGACCAAAAAGAAGAUGAUUUGGCUCAAAUCCAUAACAGCUGAUAUCCAGAACUCCAGUUUAGCCAUCCUUACAUCUGUGAUAAUGGUUCUCCUACACCUGGAGGCUAAUGAACAAUGAACACCAUUAAGGCCUAUUUCAAAUGUAAAAAACCUUGAGGCUUACUUGUGGGAAUACCUUCAAACCCAUAUGCAAGUUACAGGAACAAGGAUGGAUGUCAAAAGAAGAGUCAAAACCAGGUGGUAGCCAGGAUGUUUUUUUUCUAUUUUAUUUUUUGAGCUCAUACAGACCUAGGUUAAUGUUUUUCUGAUCAGUUUUAUUUUUUUUAAUCAACUGUGGAGUUUUUAAACAUUGCAAUGGACAUUUCACCUGUGAAAAGCUACAAGGCCUUUAUUACUAUUGUGUUAUGUGUGCACACUUGUGUUAUGUGUUGUAUGUCUAUAUGUGCAUAUGUCCAUAUAUCAGGAGCACUCAUGAAAAAAUUGGAUCCAAAUAUCUUUUAUUCACGUGAUUUAAACAGUUUAAUUUAAAUUGGGUAUUGUUUUAAUAUGUGAACAAAAAAAUGAGGUUAACAGAUCUGUUUGUUUACUUUUACCUUUCCUUUUCAUUAUAUCUAAUAAUUCUGUUCAGAACAAUGUACUAAAUUGUUCAGAAAAUUGUUUUCUUAGUGCCUGCUGGAAUGCUACACAAUUUUCUUUAGCCAUUAUUGCCAGAAUUCCUACCUUAAGACAAAAAUAGAAGAAUUUCCAGUAUUACUGAAAAACCAAAUGAGAGUUCGGAAUUACAGCUACCAUCAUCACAGCUGUUGCUGUUUCUGCUGCUACUCCUACAGCUUCUGCGACAGCUAUCACACAAACUGUACAAACUGUUGCAUCAAUAUUUACUUCAAGAAGAAAUAGACAUAUUAAUGGAUUCCUUUGCUUUAAGUGGCUUGUGGAACUUACCUGGACUGUGUAUCACUUAUAUGCAUUAUGAACUGAUACAACAAAUUAUAGAAGUGUCAGGGUAUCUUUGCUGACAGUGUCAUCGGUGGUACAAUUUUUCCAAGGGCUUCUUACUUGGAGCUGUCAAAUGCUUGAUAUCGUGGCAUUUUAUAUCCUCCUCCUUCUGCUUGUAGCAGGUUGUUUAUGGUGUUUGUGUAAAAACCACUAUGGUCGUUAUCCACAAGUAUGGCUAAGUGUGUUGGGCCGGUAGUCAAAGAUGGGUAAGAUCCAAUUACAAUGGUACCAACCUAAGACAGAAGGCUGACGAUUUGAAGUCAGACCAUCCAAUGACGGGUAAGAACCAUAUGUAGUAUUGGACAACCUAAAACAGGCACAGUCCCUAAGCCACACACUUGUUGUUUAAUAAAACAAAAGGGAGGAGAUGUUGGGGAUGCAAAUCAAGUCAAGAUGGUGCCUGGCACUUUGCCAGGAGGAGUGAUUUGUGAAGCAAUGCCUGCGAGCCAUUAAGAUGAUGAGGAUUCCUUAUUGGCUGACUGCUGUAUCUAGAUGAUGUUAAUUAAGUUAAACUGUGUGUAAUUAAUUAAGCAUAUAUACCUCUGCUGUCCAGCAGGGAAGCGGCUCCUGCUACCUUGGGUGCCCGCUACUUUGAGUUCUCGCUCAGUUCCCGCUGAGUUCACUCUCAAUAAAGUAGUUCCCAUUUCAACCUUUAA